ensembl:snoRNA small nucleolar RNA U13
ACCCUUUUGUAGUUCAUAAGCUUGAUGAUUGGGUGUUCAUGCUGUUGCAUGACUGUGUGUCCGUCAGAUCUUGCCACAACGAUGCAGGCACAUUACCCAUCUGAUG